UGUUUAAAAUUCCAUCCAUUGCUAUAGUUAAAGAUCGACAUGGUUGACAAAAUAACCAAACAAUUUCACAUGACGUACCACAUGCACCUCAUGUUGACGUAUAAUGACUAGUUUUUAACAGUAGAAAUUGAUGAAUUUUUUAACG
rnacentral:pre_miRNA from 1 species